GUGGGGAAUAUUGGACAAUGGGGGGAACCCUGAUCCAGCCAUGCCGCGUGUGUGAAGAAGGCCUUUUGGUUGUAAAGCACUUUAAGCGAGGAGGAGGCUACCGAGAUUAAUACUCUUGGAUAGUGGACGUUACUCGCAGAAUAAGCACCGGCUAACUCUGUGCCAGCAGCCGCGGUAAUACAGAGGGUGCGAGCGUUAAUCGGAUUUACUGGGCGUAAAGCGUGCGUAGGCGGCUUUUUAAGUCGGAUGUGAAAUCCCCGAGCUUAACUUGGGAAUUGCAUUCGAUACUGGGAAGCUAGAGUAUGGGAGAGGAUGGUAGAAUUCCAGGUGUAGCGGUGAAAUGCGUAGAGAUCUGGAGGAAUACCGAUGGCGAAGGCAGCCAUCUGGCCUAAUACUGACGCUGAGGUACGAAAGCAUGGGGAGCAAACAGGAUUAGAUACCCGGGUAGUCC
rnacentral:rRNA from 1 species